rnacentral:lncRNA from 1 species
GCAAGCCUAACAGUAUUAUUAAUAAUUAAAGAGGAAACGAUUAUCGAACAAUACCUUAGUCAAUCGAUACCAACAAUCACUCAAAUAAUAAAACUCUAGCCCAAAUCUCACACUAAGACCAUGGAGCAUCUAACAGAGUAACAUGAGUUUAUUGAUGGGUAGCAAACCCCAAAGAAAAAGGAAAUAACUAACACGAGCUAGGUAAGUCUGAAACAAAAGCCUCCCCGAACAAUGCGGUGGCUCACCUCAGCAAUAGGAUCCACUAGAACAAACUCGUCAGCCACUAGCUCUAUCUCCCGUAAUAGUAUCUGCAUGGAGAUGCAGGUAAGGAGUGAGUUAUAUGUAAAUAUAAUUCAGUAAGAUCCUCGACCCGCCACAUUAAAUACCUCUGGAACAAGUGUAGGAAAAUACAAAUACACCACAAUACAGAUGAUAUAGUAAAUAUGAUAAUUAUACAAUAACUUAAUAUAUGUGUAUCAACAGAGUUAUUAAGAAUUAACCAAUAAGGAUACCCACUAAGGACUUAUCAUAAUUGUAGUAAAAGAAAUUUACCAACACACCACGAGUCCACAACGGCGCCACAAUGCCUCAAAUAUGUAACAGAGUAUACACAAUGCCCGGGUGAUAUACAAAGGCAUACACAAUACCCCAACAUCAUGGCGCAUAGCCGUAUCAAACUCAACAUCAUGGCGCACAACCGUAUCAAACUCAACAUCAUGGCGCACAGCUGUAUCAAACUCAACAUCAUGGCGCACAUCAUAUCAAACUCAACAUCAUGGCGCACAGUCGUAUCAAACUCAAUAUGAUGGUGCACAGCCGUAUCAAACUCAAUAUGAUGGCACACAGCCGUAUCAAACUCAAUAUGAUGGCGCACAGCCGUAUCACACUAUCAAACAACUUGUAAAAUAAUAUUUUUUUUUCAUAAAAUAAUAUAUUUGCGGCUAGUCUAAGACCACUGACUCUGCCAAACGCACGCUUGUCCCAACACAUGGACCAGGCAGAGAAAACACACUUUCAAACCGGAUUUUAGAAAAGCAAGUAUCAAAGCUUUAAAUCUCACUUACCUCAAAUCCUUUCUUCUAAAUACCUUUGUUGCUCCAGUCCGAAAUUCAACUCACCAAACCAAUCUCUUGAUUUACAAAAUCCUAAGUAGAGUAAAACCUUGUUCAUUAAUAUUAUUUAAUGUUUGCUUGCAACUUUCUUCUCGAACAGCCAACAAAAUCAAGGAGUUCAAGAAAACUACAUAUAGGCUACUCCAUAUACACUAGAAUAUAUCUUAUGCACUACAGAUUGAAAACGUACCAUGAAUUAGGAAGAAGGAUUACCAUUGUUGUACAAAAACAAAGUCACUUUAUUCAUCUCCAAUUAAAGAAACCCAUCGGAUCAGCUACUCUAUGGCGUUUUGUUGAUCUCCAAUUAAAGAAACCCAUCAGAUCAGCUACUCUAUGGCGUUUUGUUGGCUCAAUAAUCAAGCAGUUUCUUGAUUCCUCAAUCCCUUAUGUCUUUUCUUUUUCGAGUAAAGUUACAGCAGCGCAGGUUUGUUUUUCUUUUGUAGCGUCUUCAUGGUUUUAAGCAGCAUGACUGCACUUUUCUUUGUGAUGUUCAUAAGGAGCAAUU